rnacentral:rRNA from 1 species
CCUACGGGAGGCAGCAGUGAGGAAUUUUCCGCAAUGGACGCAAGUCUGACGGAGCAACGCCGCGUGCAGGAUGACGGCCUUCGGGUUGUAAACUGCUUUUCUCUGGGACGAGAACGGACGGUACCAGAUGAACAAGCCCCGGCUAACUACGUGCCAGCAGCCGCGGUAAUACGUAGGGGGCGAGCGUUGUCCGGAGUUACUGGGCGUAAAGCGCAUGCAGGCGGUUUGGUAAGUUUGAGGUAACAGCUCCCGGCUCAACUGGGAGAGUGUCUUGAAAACUGCGAGACUUGAGGGCUCAAGAGGGACAUGGAAUUCCGGGUGUAGUGGUGAAAUGCGUAGAUAUCCGGAGGAACACCGAAGGCGAAGGCAGUGUCCUGGCGAGUGACUGACGCUGAGAUGCGAAAGCCAGGGGAGCGAACGGGAUUAGAUACCCUGGUAGUC